UGGGGAAUAUUGCACAAUGGGCGCAAGCCUGAUGCAGCCAUGCCGCGCGUAUGAAGAAGGCCUUCGGGUUGUAAAGUACUUUCAGCGAGGAGGAAGGCAUUAAGGUUAAUAACCUUAGUGAUUGACGUUACUCGCAGAAGAAGCACCGGCUAACUCCGUG
rnacentral:rRNA from 1 species